rnacentral:rRNA from 1 species
GACGAACGCUGGCGGCGUGCCCAAUGCAUGCAAGUCGCACGCACUGCCUUCGGGUAGUGAGUGGCGAACGGCUGAGUAACACGUACGAACCACCCCCUGCGUGGGGGAUAACCCACCGAAAGGUGAGCUAAUCCCGCAUACGGUCGCAAGACGAAAGGCGCAAGUCGCGCGGGGACGGGCGUGCGGCCCAUCAGGUUGUUGGUGUGGUAAAGGCGCACCAAGCCGUUGACGGGUAGCUGGUCUGUGAGGACGACCAGCCAGACUGGGACUGCGACACGGCCAGACUCUACGGGAGCAGCAGUGGGAAUAUUGGACAAUGGGCGAAAGCCUGAUCCAGCAAUGCCGCGUGAGUGAUG